rnacentral:piRNA from 2 species
UUCCAGAAGCAAUUUGGAGUGAGGC